rnacentral:rRNA from 1 species
CCUACGGGAGGCUGCAGUGAGGAAUAUUGGUCAAUGGACGAGAGUCUGAACCAGCCAAGUAGCGUGAAGGAUGACUGCCCUAUGGGUUGUAAACUUCUUUUAUAUGGGAAUAAAAUGUUCCACGUGUGGGAUUUUGUAUGUACCAUAUGAAUAAGGAUCGGCUAACUCCGUGCCAGCAGCCGCGGUAAUACGGAGGAUCCGAGCGUUAUCCGGAUUUAUUGGGUUUAAAGGGAGCGUAGGUGGAUUGUUAAGUCAGUUGUGAAAGUUUGCGGCUCAACCGUAAAAUUGCAGUUGAAACUGGCAGUCUUGAGUACAGUAGAGGUGGGCGGAAUUCGUGGUGUAGCGGUGAAAUGCUUAGAUAUCACGCAGAACUCCGAUUGCGAAGGCAGUUCACUGGACUGCAACUGACACUGAGGCUCGAAAGUGUGGGUAUCAAACAGGAUUAGAUACCCUUGUAGUC